GACGUAGGGCGCGAGCGUUGUCCGGAUUUAUUGGGCGUAAAGAGCUCGUAGGCGGCUUGUCGCGUCGAAUGUGAAAACUCGGGGCUCAACUCCGAGCUUGCAUUCGAUACGGGCAGGCUAGAGUUCGGUAGGGGAGACUGGAAUUCCUGGUGUAGCGGUGAAAUGCGCAGAUAUCAGGAGGAACACCGGUGGCGAAGGCGGGUCUCUGGGCAUUAACUGACGCUGAGGAGCGAAAGCAUGGGGAGCGAACAGG
rnacentral:rRNA from 1 species